UACGUAGGGUGCAAGCGUUGUCCGGAAUUAUUGGGCGUAAAGAGCUCGUAGGCGGUCUGUCGCGUCUGCUGUGAAAACUCAGGGCUUAACUCUGAGCUUGCAGUGGGUACGGGCAGACUAGAGUGCGGUAGGGGAGACUGGAAUUCCUGGUGUAGCGGUGAAAUGCGUAGAUAUCGGAAGGAACACCGGUGGCGAAAGCGGUCGACUGGACCUUUUCUGACGCUGAGGCGCGAAAGCCAGGGGAGCAAACGGG
rnacentral:rRNA from 1 species